GGCGCUAUAGCCAAGUGGUUACGGCGACAGAUUAGAAUGGGCUCGGAUCCUCCUGUAAUCUGUUCCUCUUUGAGGGCGCAGGUUCAAAUCCUGCUGGCGUCG